rnacentral:ncRNA from 1 species
UAUGGUAGAGGUGCAGCUGCGAUGAGUAACGUCUGACAGGAAAACCAUUCCGCUUUAUGCAGACGCAAAAGGCAAUGCUGCCGAAGGACGAAUCCUGGUAAAAUUCGUUCUGAUUGCAGUCUUAACAGGAUUGUGAUUGUCAUCAGCGUUUGAUGGAGAGCUAUCGG